rnacentral:lncRNA from 1 species
AAGAAUGCUGGUGGAGUCUGUAUGCAGUGACAUGUGACUUAGUUUUAACAGGGUCCGUUUGGGCACUGUGUGGAGCCCAGCCUGAAGGAAGGGAGGACAUGUGGAGUGCUCGUGGCACUGGUGGUUCCCUGUAGAGAUUGUUCUGUAGUUCAGGGUGCCACGGAGCAAUGCCCAGGUAUCUUUAGACCUUCUGGUGAAGAGCUUGCAGGGCAGUUGUUAUAAAGUAGCUAUCCAGACUGGCGAGCCAUUCAGGUGCUGUUCCCAGGAUUUGUCUGGGAAGGUGUCACAGAAGGAACGGUAUGUGACAGGCCCUACUGGCUGGCUACUUGACCUGUUGAAAUGAUUUAUUACCCUACUGUACAGCUUCAGUGUGUGUUUUACUGUAUGGUUCUAUGGAACUCAUUCUGCUACAUGAUUCUGUAGCCUACACACUGAGUCUUCUAGCAUGCUGUAAAUCUAGAAGACAUGGGCUAUGUGAUCAGAAGUGUAUCAUCCCAGAUGCUAUCGUUUCAGCAGAUUCCCAUCUCCUCAGAAGUGGGAGAAGUGGGUGGUGCAGUUUCAGGAUAGACUGCAGUAAUCUAUCUAUAUCCCUUUGUGAGGAAAUGUGGUGGUGGUGCUGCUGCUGCUGCCCCUCCUCUUCCUGUCCCUUCCACAUACCCAUCUUCAUUCUCAUCCCUCAGCUGUGCCUACCACCACAGGUCUCUGAAAUAGUAAUACUUGAAUCUGUAAGGUUUAUAUGGAAAAAUACUCGUUUUUAAAAAAGGCUUGUGUAAUGGUUGGUUCUUAUUUUUAAUAUGUAUAUCAUGUUAUUGCUGGAUAUUUAGUUCUUAUUAGGUGACUCAUGAAUUGUCAUUUCUGUAAGUACAGUAUUUGGUGAUAGUGAUGAUCAGGUCAGGACAGGUUGCAGCACUUUUCCUUUGUCCCUUGCUGUGGACUGAAUACUGUGCUCCUCCAGCAUCCAUGUUAGAGUUAUGAUUCCCAAGGUCAGAGUUUUAAGAAGAAUGCUUUGGUGGGAGCAGAGUCUGGAGCUAAAGCUCUCUUGAGAACGGUGUCCCAGGCAAAGAGGAGGAGCCCUUGCUGCCUCCUUCAUUCAAGGGACCCAUGAGAAGACUCCCGUCACAUACACAUUCCACCUCCACUCUCUACUGCCCAGCUCCAGAACUGGGAGAGUAGAUAAUUGUUCUUCAUAUGCUGUCUCUUUUAUAGUGUCGAGUGGGCUAAAGGACUUGUGACUCUAUCAUGCUACGGCUACCACGUGCUGAUGCUUCCUAAGGAAAGUAGAGCAGAAUUGUCUCCUCUUCCGACGAGUGUGUUAGAGUGCUCUGCCGCUCUCUCACUUGUUCUCUCUCCUUCUCCCUCUCUCCCCUUCCCUUUCUCUCUCCUCUCUGUGUGUAUUAACAUAGACUUGUUUUUUUAAAGAAUUACGUAUUUAUUUUAUAUAUAUGAGUACACUGUAGCUGUCUUCAGACAUACCAGCAAAGGGCAUCAGAUCCCAUUACAGAUGAUUGUGAGUCACCAUGUGGUUGCUGGGAGUUGAACUCAGCACCUUUUGGAUGCUCUCAGCCAACCAUUGGACUGAACAUAAGGUUCCCAAUGGAGGAGCUAGAGAAAGGACCCAAGGAGCUGAAGGGGUCUGCAGUCCCCUUGGAGGAACAACAGUAUGAACUAACCAGUACCCCAGAGCUCCUUGGAACUAAACCACCAAUCAAAGAAAACACACGGUGGGACUCGUGUCUCUAGCUGCAUAUGUAGCAGAGGAUGGCCUAGUUGGUCAUCAAUGAGAGGAGAGGUCCUUGGUCCUGUGAAGGCUCUAUGCCCCAAUAAAGGGGAAUGCCAGGACCAGGAAUGGGAGAAGGUGGGUUGGUGAGCAGGGGAAGGGGGGGGGGAUAGAGAGAGGAUGUUUUCGGAGGGGAAACCAGGAACAGGGAUAACAUUUGAAAUGUAAAUAAAGAAAAUAUCU